rnacentral:rRNA from 1 species
GAUGAACGCUGGCGGCGUGCCUAAACAUUCCAAGCCAAGCGAACAGAGGAGGACUUGGCUCUCCGGUUUUAACCGCCGGAGGGGUGAUAAAAACGUGGUAACCCUCCCUUAAAAACGGGGUUAAUUCGGGGAAACCGGAGCUAAACCCGAAAAACUUUUUGACCCGCAUGGUUAACCAUUAAAAGACGGUCUUGUGUCACUUAAAAGUUGAACCGCGCCGCAUUAGCUAGUUGGUAAGGUAAAGGCUUACCAAGGCAACGAUGCGUAGCCGACCUGAGAGGGUGAUCGGCCACACUGGAACUGAGACACGGUCCAGACUCCUACGGGAGGCAGCAGUAGGGAAUCUUCCGCAAUGGGCGAAAGCCUGACGGAGCAACGCCGCGUGAGUGAAGAAGGUCUUCGGAUCGUAAAACUCUGUUAUUAGGGAAGAACAAAUGUGUAAGUAACUAUGCACGUCUUGACGGUACCUAAUCAGAAAGCCACGGCUAACUACGUG